GACGAGCAUCACAAACGUUAUUCGGAAUUACUGGGCUUGAAGGGUGCGUAGGCGGUGCAGCAAGUCGGGAGUGAAAUCCCACAGCUCAACUGUGGAAUUGCUUUCGAUACUGCUGUGCUUGAGUGAGACAGAGGUAAGCGGAACUUAGGGUGGAGCGGUGAAAUGCGUUGAUAUCCUAAGGAACACCGGUGGCGAAGGCGGCUUACUGGGUCUCUACUGACGCUGAUGCACGAAAGCCAGGGUAGCGAACGGG
rnacentral:rRNA from 1 species